rnacentral:rRNA from 1 species
AGCGAACGCUGGCGGCAGGCUUAACACAUGCAAGUCGAGCGGGCAUCUUCGGGUGUCAGCGGCGGACGGGUGAGUAACGCGUGGGAACGUGCCUUCUGGUUCGGAAUAACUAAGGGAAACUUGAGCUAAUAACGGAUACGCCCUUUUGGGGAAAGGCUUACUGCCGGAAGAUCGGCCCGCGGCUGAUUAGCUAGUUGGUGGGGUAACGGCCUACCAAGGCGACGAUCAGUAGCUGGUCUGAGAGGCUGAUCAGCCACACUGGGACUGGGACACGGCCCAGACUCCUACGGGAGGCAGCAGUGGGGAAUAUUGGAAAAUGGGGGCAACCCUGAUCCAGCCAUGCCGCGCGAGUGAUGAAGGCCCUAGGGUUGUAAAGCUCUUUUAUCCGGGACGAUAAUGACGGUACCGGAGGAAUAAGCCCCGGCUAACUUCGUGCCAGCCGCCGCAGUAA